rnacentral:rRNA from 1 species
CCUACGGGUGGCAGCAGCAAGGAAUCUUCCGCAAUGGGCGCAAGCCUGACGGAGCAACGCCGCGUGGGGGAGGACGCCCUUCGGGGUGUAAACCCCUUUUCCCGGGGACGAAGUACUGACGGUACCCGGGGAAGAAGGACCGGCUAACUACGUGCCAGCAGCCGCGGUAAUACGUAGGGUCCGAGCGUUGUCCGGAGUUACUGGGCGUAAAGCGCGCGCAGGCGGCGGCGCUGGCCUGGCGUGAAAGCCCCCGGCUCAACCGGGGAAUGGCGUCG